AUUUCCACCAUUUGAUACCAUCUGUUUCUCACACACAUCCAUGAGGGAAGAAUCAUUCCCAUUUAACAGACAAUGUAACUGGGCCUGAAUAUAGCUCAGCGACUUGCCCCAGGCCCACCAGGAAGUGGAUAAAGCCAUGCUCAACCCAGCACUUCUUCUCUCUACCUUCCACCGAUCCUGCCUGCUCAUCUUCCCUCCUUGGUGAAGGCAUGUGUGCUGUGCUCUGCUUAACUAAUUUCCCUCAGAUAUUCGCAUUUCUGUCUUUACAAUUUGGCAUCCCAGUGAGGUUUCCCUUUGUAUAUUUUCCGGUUCCUAUAUUCCCAUUAUUCAGGUAUCAUCACUCAAUAACCAUUUGACAGCAGUAAUGCUUUUCACAUGGAAAGAAUUGGGUUUUUAUUGAUGGCAAAUGUUGUGAUGAACUUUCAUGCCCACUUGGAGCCGGAGCACUUUUUUAUAGAAUGAACCACAAUGAGAAGCGUUUCCAAGAAAUGUCUUUGGAGUGUGGACUGAGAUGUACGUUUAGGAACAGGUCCUGUGGCCAGAGUGGGGAGAGAGGGGGCUUCCCAUUGUCAAAAUCUCAUCAAUCAAAAUGUAUAAUAGCAACAUUAUUAAUAACCCUAUAGUUGCAUUGCACUUGGUGCUCUUCCAAGCACUUCCCUAGAAUCCUAAAAUGAAGGCAGGGCAGAUAUUAUAUCCAUGUUACAGGUUAAACAACAUUGUAACAGGACUGAUAACACCAUGAAUGAGAAGUCAUUUGAUCAAUGGAGAGCCAGUUAUUAAACAUUUACCAACAUGUGCAAGAACGGGUUUCAAGGCCGAGGUGGGCAGAUCACAAGGUCAGGACUUUGAGACCAGCCUGGCCAAUAUGGUGAAACCCCAUUUCUACUAAAAAUACAAAAAAAUUAGCCAGGCGUGGUGAUGCAUGCCUGUAAUCCCAGCUACUCGGUAGGCUGAGGCAGGAGAAUUGCUUGAACCCGGGAGGCGGAGGUUUGCAGUGAGCCAAGAUCGCGCCACUGCACUCCAGCCUGGCAACAGAGCAAGACUCCGUCUCAAACAAAACACAGCACAACAAAACAAAAAAGAACGAGUUUCAUAGUGAGAAACAGCGGAGAAACCAGCUUACCUGGUGGGCCUUGAGUGGCCCCUACAAACUCCAACCUGUUCAAGACUCAUUUGCCACGUUGUACCUUCCAGCCAAGGCAAUCCCCCCAGCCUGAGCUACUUCCCAGACCAGACCACAGAAGCAAGGCCAUGCUCACCGAGGACCCCACUUGUGGACUAGACUUCUGUCCUGCUGUGGCCUCAAAAGCAAUAGCCAGGGCCCCAUGAUGAAGCUGCCAUCAGAAGCACAGGUGUGCCUGGCAAGGACACAGGAGGACCACGGCUCCAUGCCGAUGAGAAUGGCAGCUAAGUCUGAAGCUUUCUAUGAUUUAGAUUCCUGGUUGCGAGAGGGAGCCUAUAGGAAUGGCGAGAAGAGUGAGAACUUUGCAGAGGCAGCAAGGAUUUUCUCUUUGGGUCACCGCGUGUUCUUUGGGGUCAUAUAAAGUACUCUGCUCAAGAACAAAGGCCAGUGUGGCUAUGAUGAAAAUGCAUUGACAGAGGGGCUUCAAUGUCUAUGGAACAGAAACAAGAGCCCUGGACCAAGAGGAGGAAAUGUGGAUUCACCAACAUGUUGAAAAUCAUUCUAACAUCUCCAGGCCUCAGCGUGGUCAUUCACAAAUGGAAUUCAACAAUUUCUAAGGCAACUUUUCUAACAUUUUGGAGAUAAAAAAUUUAAUGUUUAGUCCCUGUAACUAGCUUUGACAAAGAGAACACAGUGGAAGUGAUCCUGCCCACCCCUUUUCCAAGGUAGACCUUAAAAGACCUGUAGCUUCCACUAUUGUGCCUCCUAGAAGCCUGUACCAUGUAAGAAUUCUAACUACCAUGGGAACAUCAUGCUGUGAGGAAGCCCAAGCUAGCCAUUUGGGAGAGAGGAAGGCCACGUAGAGAAGCACCAAGAAACUAGACAUGUUUGUGAAGCCUACUUGAACUUUCCAGCCCAACUCCAGCUGAAUGCAUCCAAGUGAAUGGCCCCAGCUGAUCCCCUGUGGAGCAGAACCACCCUGCUGACUCCUGACUGAAUCCCUGAUCCACAGAAUUGUGAGCAAUAAUAUGACUGUUGUUCUAAAUCACAAAGUUGAGGCAUAAUUUGUUAAUCAGCAAUAGAUAACUGAAACAGAGUAUAAGAGGAUUGGAGGACCAAACUCACAGUGCAGGCUACAUAUACUAUCACUGAGCAAUUGGGUCAGAAUGGCAAGGAGAUCUUCAUGGAGGAGGUGGGAAAUGUUUUGCAGGAAGGGAUGGAGUUGGAUGAGUGAAAGGACAAGGUAUGCAGGAGAAAAUUCUACAAGAGCUAACCACUCCAUAGGCCUCUGGGGACAUGCCCUGAACACUGACAGGACUUCACAAUUAUUUCUAUCACAGCCACCUAACUGCCUCAAUACCGGGGAGUCUGCCUGGGUUUGGCCCAAAGUAGAUUUCACCAAAGUCCUGCUUUAUCUUCACAACUCCUAUGAAUUUUAUAUUGCAUUUCAUAAUUUAGUCAUCUACAUUUUAAUUUUAAAAAUGGUUGAAAUUACUUACCAAUUACAUUGUUUAACUUCUCCCCACCCAUCCCAAUCUCUUCAGUAAAACAGAUGCCCCAUGAAGAAGGGUCACCAUGAGACCUGGGCACUGUGUGCCCCAGAACAUGUGACCUCAAGGGGGUCAGAGACUUGGGUUUUUCCUUUCAGGAUCUAUGCACAGAUCUUUUUUAGUGCCAUAACUGGCCUCUGGGUUCCCCACUCCUGUCUCAGUCCCAACUUUAAGCUACCCUUAGAUUCACAAGGAACCUGACUCAGGAGAGACCACCUCCUGACCCUGCCCAGAGGCAGCUUAAAAACAACCUAGUUCUUCAGUCUCUGGACCAUGCUCCUGGCCUCCUCCCACAGAGCAUUUGGAAAGCAACCCAAGGCAAUGUUCAGUCUUCCCUGAACAUACUCGAAUACCCCUCAAACCUCUUUUUUUCUUAAACAGGCAACUCACAUAUGCAUCUAUAACCUGUAUAGAUACGUUGACACUUGGAAGCAAAAUAGAGGAAAGCUUUCAUUAUCA